UACGUAGGUGGCAAGCGUUAUCCGGAUUUACUGGGUGUAAAGGGCGUGUAGGCGGGAAAGCAAGUCAGAUGUGUAAACCACGGGCUCAACCUGUGGCCUGCAUUUGAAACUGUUUUUCUUGAGUACUGGAGAGGCAGACGGAAUUCCUCGUGUAGCGGUGAAAUGCGUAGAUAUGAGGAGGAACACCAGUGGCGAAGGCGGUCUGCUGGACAGCAACUGACGCUGAGGCGCGAAAGCGUGGGGAGCAAACAGG
rnacentral:rRNA from 1 species